CCUCUGAAAUCCAGCAAGAAACAGGGAUCUGAAACCUUGGAUUAGACAAGUGACCAUAAAGCUUUUGUGUGGUUUACUGCAGGGAUUUAGCAAACUGGAAUACUAGAGCCUGAAUAGUUUGGUUUGAUUUUGCCUGGAGGGUGAUUUAAUGUUUUUCUUUGGAAACCAAAGUUUUUCAACGAAGCAGACAUGGAAGAAAACGAAGGAGCAGAUAUUUUGGAAAACUGCCCUGUCUCUAAUGGUCCUUGGUGCAAGCCAAAGAGAGACGAGGAGGUGCCUUUGGAGAGGAGGAGCAUGUGGAUGAAAGAGGAGGUCUCUGAGGCACCAUGGCCAUGGAAACGCACAAGGUGACUGGAUCCCUUCUUAAAAGCACAGGGUGAGGUGAUGCAUCCAUGCAAGUCCUGCAUUGAACUUGACUGAGUAAUGCUGUUUCUUGGUUCUGCCAGCUCUGUAACACCCAAAUGCAGUCUUGCAUUUUCCUUGCUG
rnacentral:lncRNA from 1 species